CCUACGGGUGGCUGCAGUGAGGAAUAUUGGUCAAUGGGCGGAAGCCUGAACCAGCCAAGUAGCGUGCAGGAUGACGGCCCUACGGGUUGUAAACUGCUUUUAUACGGGAAUAACGCGCCUUACGUGUAGGGCUUUGCAUGUACCGUAUGAAUAAGGACCGGCUAAUUCCGUGCCAGCCGCCGCGGUAAUACGGCAGGUCCGGGCGUUAUCCGGAUUUAUUUGGUUUAAAGGGAGCGUAGGCCGCAUGUCAAGCGUGCUGUGAAAUGUCCGGGCUCAACCUGGGCCUUGCAGCGAGAACUGGCGUGCUUGAGUCCGCUGAAGGCAGGCGGAAUUCGUGGUGUAGCGGUGAAAUGCUUAGAUAUGACGAAGAACCCCGAUUGCGAAGGCAGCUUGCUGCAGCGGAACUGACGCUGAUGCUCGAAAGCGCGGGUAUCGAACAGGAUUAGAUACCCGGGUAGUC
rnacentral:rRNA from 1 species